rnacentral:tRNA from 1 species
AACAAAGAAGUAAAAAAAUUUACAUUUAGUUUCGACCUAAAAUUAAGGGAUAUCCCUCAUGUUU